AGAGAAUAGAUACCCUGGUAGUCCACGCCGUAAACGAUGGGUACUAGGUGUUGCAGGAAUUGACCCCUGCAGUGCCGUAGCUAACGCAUUAAGUACCCCGCCUGGGAAGUACGGCCGCAAGGUUAAAACUCAAAGGAAUUGACGGGGGCCCGCACAAGCGGUGGAGCAUGUGGUUUAAUUCGAUGCAACGCGAAAAACCUUACCUGGGUUUGACAUCCACUGACAGCCGUAGAGAUACGGUUUCCCCUUCGGGGGCAGUGAGACAGGUGCUGCAUGGCUGUCGUCAGCUCGUAUCGUGAGAUGUCGGGUUAAGUCCCUUAACGAGCGCAACCCUUAUCCCUAGUUGCCAUCAUUCAGUUGGGCACUCUAUGGAGACUGCCGGUGUUAAACCGGAGGAAGGCGGGGAUGACGUCAAGUCCUCAUGGCCUUUAUAUCCAGGGCUACACACGUGCUACAAUGGCCGGUACAAAGGGUUGCCAACCCGCGAGGGGGAGCUAAUCUCAUAAAGCCGGUCUCAGUUCGGAUUGAAGUCUGCAAUUCGACUUC
rnacentral:rRNA from 1 species